UAGGGAAUCUUCCGCAAUGGACGAAAGUCUGACGAAGCAACGCCGCGUGAGUGAAGAAGGAUUUCGGUUCGUAAAACUCUGUUGUUAGGGAAGAAAAAAUGUAUAGUAACUAUAUACAAAAGAGACGGUACCUAACCAGAAAGCCACGGCUAACUACGUGCCAGCAGCCGCGGUAAUACGUAGGUGGCAAGCGUUGUCCGGAAUUAUUGGGCGUAAAGCGCGCGCAGGUGGUUUAGAAAGUCUGAUGUGAAAGCCCACGGCUCAACCGUGGAGGGUCAUUGGAAACUAAUAAACUUGAGUGCAGGAGAGAAAAGUGGAAUUCCUAGUGUAGCGGUGAAAUGCGUAGAGAUUAGGAGGAACACCGGUGGCGAAAGCGGCUUUUUGGCCUGCAACUGACACUGAGGCGCGAAAGCGUGGGGAGCAAACAGG
rnacentral:rRNA from 1 species